rnacentral:rRNA from 1 species
UACGUAGGGGGCAAGCGUUGUCCGGAAUCAUUGGGCGUAAAGAGCGUGUAGGCGGCUUGGUAAGUCCGCUGUGAAAGUCCAGGGCUCAACCCUGGAAAGCCGGUGGAAACUGUCAAGCUUGAGUCCGGAAGAGGCGAGUGGAAUUCCUGGUGUAGCGGUGAAAUGCGCAGAUAUCAGGAGGAACACCAAUGGCGAAGGCAGACU